GCCCGGCUAGCUCAAUCGGUAGAGCGUGAGACUCUUAUAAACGGGUAUCACCCAUCUCAAGGUUGUGGGUUCGACCCCCACGUCGGGCU
rfam:Chaetomium globosum CBS 148.51 scaffold_1 genomic scaffold, whole genome shotgun sequence.